UACAGAGGGUGCGAGCGUUAAUCGGAAUAACUGGGCGUAAAGGGCGCGUAGGCGGUUGAUCAAGUGGUAGGUGAAAUCCCCGGGCUUAACCUGGGAACAGCCUGCCAGACUGGUCAGCUGGAGUACAGUAGAGGGUGGUGGAAUUUCCGGUGUAGCGGUGAAAUGCGUAGAGAUCGGAAGGAACAUCAGUGGCGAAGGCGACCACCUGGACUGACACUGACGCUGAGGCGCGAAAGCGUGGGUAGCAAACAGG
rnacentral:rRNA from 1 species